GGGGGGGGGGGGGGGGGGGGGGGGGGGGGGGGGGGGGGGGGGGGGGGGGGGGGGGGGGGGGGGGGGGGGGGGGGGGGGGGGGGGGGGGGGGGGGGGGGGGGGGGGGGGGGGGGGGACCGGGAAAACACCCCCAGGAACCGGGGGCGACAGCGGGGAUCCCCCGCCAUUACCUGGCCCGGCGCCCCCCGCUCCGCUGCGAUGGUGGGGGCGAAACCCCCCAAAUCCCCACGGGCUCCAUCAGGCCUCCAUCCCCGGGGCCGUGCGCCCGGUACCGGUUAUUGUGCUAAAACCUGGUGAGCCCCAGUGGGAGAGGGGACUCCAGUGACCCCGCUGUGACAGCCACCCUUUCCCGCGCUGUCCUGUCCCCCCGGGGGGCUCCAGGCCCUACCCUGAUGCGAAUAAACCGAAUAAACUGAAUAAUCCGAAUAACCGAAUUCGAAUAAACACAAUAAUCCGAAUAAACUAACCAAUCCGCAAAAGGGCUCUAACUCCCCGGGCCGUUAGCUCCACAGGGACCUGUGGCACUGUGGCACUUGUGGCAGGGCUGCUGGUGACAACGUGGCCGGGGUGACACGGCAGGGCCAUGGCGUGGUGUGUGAGCCAACAAAGGGCUGCUCUGGCAGGAUGUUUAUCCCCAAAACCACCGAUGCUAUGAGGAAAUUAAAAGUGAUAGCAUUCGCUUAAAACAACCAUUGGAUGGGGGAAAGCGUGGCCAAGAGGCCCCUGAGAGAAGGCUGCUGGAAGAGGAGGGUGAAAGGCCGAGGACUGGUGACUGUGGGGAGAGAGGCCGGGCGGGGAUGGCGGCGGCUUGGGCCGGAACAGCCGCGCCACGCUGCGCCCGCGGCGCAGACAAAGGAGCACGAGGCGCGGGAGGCCCCGGCACACCCCGUUUGCCGUGCUGGAGCACGAGGCGCGGGAGGCCCCGGCAAACCCCGUUUGCCGUGCUCAUCUCCUGCCCCCCAGCCCUCCCUGUGCACUGGAGCACAGAAAGCAGCAGGACAUGCUGCAGGACAAGGUGCAGGACAAGGUGCAGGAUGCGCUGCAGGAUGUGCUGCAGGACACGGUGCAGGACGUGGUGCGGGACACGGUGCAGGACGUGCUGCAGGACACGGUGCAGGACGCGGUGCAGGACGCGCUGCAGGAUGUGCUGCAGGACGCGGUGCAGGACGUGGUGCAGGACAUGGUGCAGGACACGGUGCAGGACGCGCUGCAGGAUGUGCUGCCCUCCCAGCCGGGUCCGCCGGCCAUGGCGCUCAGGGACACUCAGGGCAGCGCCUCUGCCUGUCCCGCUCCUUUGUGUGACCACCACGGAUCCCAGGCUGGCAGCCAAGGCCUGGCUGGGCUCGGUGCUGGAGGCCUGGCACUGUUGGGGCACUCAGGGCACAUCUCUGACCUGCAGCAGCAAGGCUUCGCUUCCUCCCAAGGCUCAAAGUCAUUCCUUGCCCUUGCAGAAGUACUGGAGGAUUUACCUGAAGCCAGCACAGCACUCCCUGCAGCCUGAGAAGGUUCUGGGAUACUGGGAAGGAAUUCCUCCCUGCCAGAGCUGCCCAACACACUUGUUCAUCACCCCUGACCCAGCUCGUCCCACAGCAGGGACAGACAGCCUGCAGGGUUUGCACUGCACAGGAAGCCCAGAGGCAGAGCCAGGAGGCAGCUGAAGGGCAGCAGGGGAGCAGCAGCGGGGCUGAGGGCUCCUGGCUCCCACAGGUGCAGCAGGUGGGUUCACACCUGGAGGAUCCUGCCCUGGGUCUGGAUGCUGCAGGGCUGCGGCCUCCAACCAACCCAGCUCCUCUCCCUUCCCCAAACGUGUUUCUCCACUUCUCCCACGCCUACCAAACCUCUUAGUGAUGAUUUUAUCUCGGACUUAAAUCUGUGUCUUUCAUACAGCACCAAGGGCCACAGAAACAAUUGUGCAAACCUUUGCUCUGACAUUGCAAUCCCCCAAGUGCAGUGUCCUGAGCCUGCAGGCAGUUCUGCCACCCAGCAGGAAAUCCCAGCACUGAUAUUUCACCCUAAUAUUAAAGGCACACAUUAGAUAUUAAACACUGCCUGGUUAAUUGUAAUGAUUGGUUAUCACUUCUCACAUUCCCCUGUGCCCCACCACAGCCACAUGAAGGUGCCUCAUGCAGACAGUGCUGAAAUAGAACCUGUCCCAUGGGACUUUCACCAUCCCACCAACUGACCCACUGGGGCUCCUCACACCCGUGAACCACCUGGAUCACUGACACGUUACCUGAGGAUGCAGCGAACCACCUGAAUCACUGACACGUUACCUGAGGAUGCAGCACUGGCUGUGCCAACACUCCAAAAUACACAGGGGUCAUUUCUUGAUUCCCUGUUCCUGUAAAAAACCCUUCACUCCAGCAACUUUUCACAGGACAGACAAGAACAACUUUAUUUCCCUUACAAACAUCGCAAUUGUUAAAAGCCAACACUCCCAGCUAAGUCAGCCUCAGGAUGAGGAUUCCUUCCAGCCCCAAAACUGAGCAGUGACAAUUGUCUACAUUUUUGUCAGCUUAACAGCACAUUUUUCAAAAACCAUUGGCACCCCCCCCUGCCUGAAUGGCAAUACAGAAACAGAGCCAAGGUCUCCUGCAUGCAGUGGCCCAAAACAAGGUGACUCAACCACUGUAAUAGCACUAGAAGACUUCAGAUAAUUUUUACCUGUGCCUCAGUUUCCUCCCCCGCUGAUCUUAAAAACAGACAACAGGAAGCUUAAUUGAUGUUUUCAAACCAGUUUUUGAGAGCUGGGGAUGAAAAGGCACAAAUGGAAAAGUAUUAGCUGGAGUUCUCAGUAUUUGUUACAGCUGUUAAAAAGCCCUGAGCUCCCUGGAGUCCUGCACUGCUGGCUCCUCUGCAAGGAUAAAAACCAUAAAUCCACUCCUACCCUGAAAAUCCCAGCCAACAGGAGAAGCAGAAAGUUUUCAUCAUCAGGUGUCUGCUGGCACGGGGAGGCACAGCAGCCCUGAUGAGGGGAGGGGGAGCUUUGCCAUUAAAACACCAGGAUGACGAUGAUGAUGGUUCACAAACAACUUCCCUGAUUCCCUGGGACCUGGUGACAACAUCUGUGACUCCCUGCAAAGGGCACAGCUGGGGACAGGCAGGGCUCGGCUGCUGUCCCAGGAACAGCUCCCGGGCUCAGGGGAUUGCUGGGGGUCUGUGCAGGGCCAGGGCUCGGACCGAGGGUCCCUGAGGGUCCCUCCUCGCUCAGGGAACUCCAAGAUUCCACCCAAGGCCAAAGCACGGGUGGAUGGAUGGACACCCUCUGACACAUCCCCUGGACACGCUGCCGGGGGUGUCCCUGCUGGGGGACAAACAGCGGCUCCCAAACAGCGACCGCGGCCCCGAGAGACCCCAGCCCUCACCUGCAGCCCCACCCCGCUGCCCCCCGCC
rnacentral:lncRNA from 1 species